UUAACGGAGAGUUUGAUUCUGGCUCAGAACGAACGCUGGCGGCGUGGAUAAGACAUGCAAGUCGAACGCGACUUAUCUGGUUAGCAAUAACUAGGUAAGUUGAGUGGCGAAAGGGUGCGUAACACGUGGGAAUUUACCAAGAAGUGGGGAAUAGCUCGGCGAAAGCCGAAUUAAUACCGCAUGUGAUCGAAAGAUCAAAGUCGGGGACCGCAAGGCCUGACGCUUCUUGAGAAGCCCGCGGCCCAUCAGCUAGUUGGCGGGGUAACGGCCCACCAAGGCUAUGACGGGUAGCUGGUCUGAGAGGACGACCAGCCACACUGGAACUGAGACACGGUCCAGACACCUACGGGUGGCAGCAGUCGAGAAU
rnacentral:rRNA from 1 species